rnacentral:rRNA from 1 species
CAGUCGCCGCGGUAAUACGGAGGGUGCAAGCGUUAUCCGGAUUUAUUGGGUUUAAAGGGUCCGUAGGCGGAUCUGUAAGUCAGUGGUGAAAUCUCACAGCUUAACUGUGAAACUGCCAUUGAUACUGCAGGUCUUGAGUAAAUUUGAAGUGGCUGGAAUAAGUAGUGUAGCGGUGAAAUGCAUAGAUAUUACUUAGAACACCAAUUGCGAAGGCAGGUCACUAAGAUUUAACUGACGCUGAUGGACGAAAGCGUGGGGAGCGAACAGGAUUAGAUACCCCUGUAGUCCCUGUCUCUUAUAA